UAGGGAAGUCAGGGCCAGGAGCUCCCCCCUGAGCCCAGGGUAACCCUAACUGUGGGGGAGCA
rfam:Dipodomys ordii contig_46800, whole genome shotgun sequence.